GGAAGAUUGGCAGAGCGGUAAUGCAGCUGGUUGCUAACCAGUAGGGCCGAAAGGCUCCGAGAGUUCGAACCUCUCAUCUUCCUCCA
rnacentral:tRNA from 1 species